UUGACGGGGGCCCGCACAAGCGGUGGAGCAUGUGGUUUAAUUCGAAGCAACGCGAAGAACCUUACCAGGUCUUGACAUCCUUUGACCACUCUGGAGACAGAGCUUUCCCUUCGGGGACAAAGUGACAGGUGGUGCAUGGUUGUCGUCAGCUCGUGUCGUGAGAUGUUGGGUUAAGUCCCGCAACGAGCGCAACCCUUGAUUUUAGUUGCCAGCAUUUAGUUGGGCACUCUAAAGUGACUGCCGGUGCAAGCCGGAGGAAGGUGGGGAUGACGUCAAAUCAUCAUGCCCCUUAUGACCUGGGCUACACACGUGCUACAAUGGAUAGUACAAAGGGUCGCGAAGCCGCGAGGUGGAGCUAAUCCCAUAAAACUAUUCUCAGUUCGGAUUGUAGGCUGCAACUCGCCUACAUGAAGCCGGAAUCGCUAGUAAUCGUGGAUCAGCAUGCCACGGUGAAUACGUUCCCGGGCCUUGUACACACCGCCCGUCACACCACGAGAGUUUGUAACACCCGAAGUCGGUAGGGUAACCUUUAUGGAGCCAGCCGCCGAAGGUGGGACAGAUAAUUGGGGUGAAGUCGUAACAAGGUAGCCGUAUCGGAAGGUGCGGCUGGAUCACCUCCUUU
rnacentral:rRNA from 1 species